rnacentral:lncRNA from 1 species
AUCUUUGGUACGUAAUAAAUCAUCUGCAAAAAUGAAGUUCGUAUUGUUCAAAUGUCGCAAAUUAAAAAUACUAAACCAAUAGACUGCAAAAAGAAAAUUCAUAUGUUCCAAUGAAUUGCUAACUCAUUUCACCCUGAAUCUACUUAAAAGCUAAAGCAUUAACAAAGGAAUUGACAAAAACAUAGAGAAGCUGAAGUGUUGUUUUCCCAAACAACCGACAAAAU